UGGGGAAUUUUGGACAAUGGGCGCAAGCCUGAUCCAGCCAUGCCGCGUGCGGGAAGAAGGCCUUCGGGUUGUAAACCGCUUUUGUCAGGGAAGAAAUCCUUUGAGUUAAUACCUUGUGCGGAUGACGGUACCAUCAGAAGAAGCACCGGCUAACUACGUGCCAGCAGCCGCGGUAAUACGUAGGGUGCGAGCGUUAAUCGGAAUUACUGGGCGUAAAGCGUGCGCAGGCGGUUUUGUAAGACAGUGGUGAAAUCCCCGGGCUCAACCUGGGAACUGCCAUUGUGACUGCAAAGCUAGAGUGCGGCAGAGGGGGAUGGAAUUCCGCGUGUAGCAGUGAAAUGCGUAGAUAUGCGGAGGAACACCGAUGGCGAAGGCAAUCCCCUGGGGCUGCACUGACGCUCAUGCACGAAAGCGUGGAGAGCAAACA
rnacentral:rRNA from 1 species